rnacentral:rRNA from 1 species
UGCCAGCAGCCGCGGUAAUACGGAGGGUGCGAGCGUUAAUCGGAAUUACUGGGCGUAAAGCGCAUGCAGGCGGUUGAUUAAGCGAGAUGUGAAAGCCCCGGGCUUAACCUGGGAACUGCAUUUCGAACUGGUCAACUAGAGUCUUGUAGAGGGGGGUAGAAUUUCAGGUGUAGCGGUGAAAUGCGUAGAGAUCUGAAGGAAUACCGGUGGCGAAGGCGGCCAACUGGACGAGUACUGACGCUGAGGUACGAAAGCGUGGGGAGCAAACAGGAUUAGUUC